AGCCAAUUAAACAGCGGUAACGGCCCAGCAGCAGCCGCAGCGGGGGAGCCGCUCGCCGGCGCCACCGUCGCACCGUGAGCCGUCGGCAUUCUGCGCACAUCGCAGAUCGCACGCACCGCAGGAAAGUUCAAAGCUGCGUCGAGGACAACGUGAGGAAUCUUUUCACCGCGUUUCCGCGAGGACGCUGCGGCGACGUUCGGACAAACCGAAGCGAGGAGUGGAGAACGCCACCUUAUGGUCCAAAUGUGCACCUCCAGACCAGGAAUAAUGACAGGAGGCUCUUUUGAAAAACAAUUUGUCUUUGAUUCAUGGCCAGAGUCGGGUAGAGGUGUCAAGAACGCUCGCCGACUUUCCUUAACUUCUUCUCCAAGUCAGAGUCGUGAUGGUGCGGAGCCUAUCCCGGAAGCAAGUAGGUAUAGGUACGCAGGGCUAGUCGGAGCAGCACUGUGGACACAUUUCAACUGUCACAAUAUUAAAAAACAUAUUCUUAACUUCUUAAACAUAUUUAAACCCGAUUUUAUCCCGCAGAGAUCACCUGCUUGGCCAUGAAUGAAAGGCGAGACAAAUCUCAGGAACCCAACCUUAACCUUUCCGACUGGGAGCAUCAUACAGAGAAAAAUGAACCCUCUAUGGGAAAACGACAGAUGUCGGAGAAACGUGAUCCCGGAGAGGGAGCAACUCCAAGUCCGAGUAUCUUAUGUGGAAUAUCUUAUUUCUCAUUUCUCGCUUUACGCAGCUGUUCUUUGAAGAGAAGCUGGGUGGAACAGACUAACACUACCGAUGAACAACAUAAACCAUCGACACACUUCGCGCUGAUAUAUUUAUCAUGGCAUUCAGGGGUUUACAUUACUGCUAAUGUCAGCUUCCCUGUCGGAAUAAAGAUGCACUUUAUAAAGAGCUUGUUAGUAAACUCCAGUUGCAUUUGUGCACCCGAAAGGGCCUCAUUUAACAUGUGCCACUUCUAAAAAGAAGCCCGGGGGAAAGCGAGGGAAAGCGAGGCUGCGGCAUUCAGCAGAUCCUGCCGAGCAGAGCAUUCCUGGCAUUGGGUCACGGAUCACGGAGACGAAGACGUGUGUGGCGGUGCAGAACUGGGGGACCGUACUACUGAACAAGGCAACGAGGGCCUUGGGUAGAGUGCAGCUGACAGAGAUUGGCUCCCGAUGGCGACGUCCCUUCCAGCUUCUCUGUUAAACUCCAACGAGGCUCCGAAUAGCUCAA
rnacentral:lncRNA from 1 species